GUAGGCUGCAUGUGGUGGAAAUGUCUGCUUCUCAUUCCUUUGGAAGCAGGAAUACAUCCACAACAUGCUAC
ensembl:miRNA